rnacentral:rRNA from 1 species
UACGUAGGGAGCUAGCGUUGUUCGGAAUUACUGGGCGUAAAGCGCGCGUAGGCGGCUUUGUAAGUUAGAGGUGAAAGCCCGGGGCUCAACCCCGGAACUGCCUUUAAGACUGCAUCGCUUGAAUCCGGGAGAGGUGAGUGGAAUUCCGAGUGUAGAGGUGAAAUUCGUAGAUAUUCGGAAGAACACCAGUGGCGAAGGCGGCUCACUGGACCGGCAUUGACGCUGAGGUGCGAAGGCGUGGGGAGCGAACGGG